AAAGAAGAUCAAUGUACCUGUUGGUGGAGAUCAGGGAUAUGCUAAAAAAAAUGAUGAACUAUCCAGUGACCAGCCUUGCCUAUAAUGAACCAACACUGCAACUAGAAUAACAGGAAAAUCUAGAGGAUUUUCAAAGCUUUGAUCUGUCUCUCAAUGACAAGAGAGAGUUUGAUCUUUCUCGAGCCACAGUUGCAAAAAUUGGGGGAAGUGAUUAUGGAGAUCACAUAAAGAAAUCCAUGGAAAGAUUGAUGACAAAUAAAUUAAUGGCCAAGAUGAAUAUGUCAGGGAAAAUG